CGGCGCGCCACUCGUUCGUAAGCGCGUCCGUUCCGUAAGUGCUCAGCAUUUUUCGCAUUAUUUGCCGGUAGAAAAUCGAUCGCGCAUACUUGGACUAUCGGAACCGUCGUGCGAGACACUGACGAUGCGUUUUCGCGACGGAUCUCUCCUUCCAAGCGACUCGGAUGGAUUCUUUGAGGAAUGCAAUUCCUGCAUCGAUGAGUGCCGAUAGAACCGCAUCGUCGCAGUUGCAAUAAUGGCGCGCGGAAAUCGAUCUCGCAUACUUGGACUAUCGGAACCGUCGUGCGAGACACUGACGAUGCGUUUUCGCGAUGGACUUCUUCUUCCAAGCGACUCGGAUGGAUUCUUUGAGGAAUGCAAUUCCGGCAUCGACGAGUGCCGAUAGAACCGAACCGUCGCAGUUGCAAAAUGGCGCGCGAGUUCGUGAAUAAUGUUGCAUCUUGGAGUGCACUUGCGAAAACUACGAAACAAAGAUAUUAACUUAUUUAUCGAUUACGAUUGACGCAUCGGGAAUAUCGUUUAAAGCACUACGUGUUAUCGUAUAUUUGCUAAUUAGCGCGAUCAGUGCGUGCAAUCGUACCGUUAAGUUUGUUUUCUGUAAUGUGCGAGUAUUAUGCCAGAAGUAAACUUUGCCAUGCGAGUUAAUCGCAUCUUCGUGAGUGAGUAUCGUUGAGUUAGUCUUCGAUUACAUCGUGAAGUACUGAAAGGAAGUGGAGACCUGGGAGACGUUGAGCAAUAACGGGAUAAUUGCGGAGUGAGUGAUAAAAAUAUAUUAGAUAAUUAUAUAAAUGGCAGAAAGAACUUAAUUAUAUUAACCAAAUGAUCUUUUUAAU